GUUGCGGUGAUUGAAAGAUCGUGUCUUAAUUCUCUAAAAAAAUUACUGUCCAUCCAGUUAGGGGUUUGGUGUCAUGCCGUCAUAAAAUAUAUGAGAAGAAAAUGAUAAGUAGGUUUAGAAGAACUUAAACCUGGAUAAUAUUACUUGUUCGUUUUCAUUCUGUGGUUAGACUGUAGAAAUGUACUAUUGUAUUGUUUAUUUGUGUUUUUCUCUGUC
rnacentral:lncRNA from 1 species